GCCAGCUUGGCCGAGUGGUUAAGGCGUCCGACUUAAGAUCGGAUACCCGUGAGGGUGCGUGGGUUCGAUCCCCACAGUUGGCA
rnacentral:tRNA from 1 species